UCGGAGUGGUUCCUCCUUAGAAACCAGACCGAAUCCGACCUAAGCUGGGCUGGGUCCAGUGUGAGGCCCAGGACCCACUAUAUCCAGUGGCAAUUUACCACACGUCGUUAAUAUGUUUGUUAUAUUUUGUUGGCGGAAUAUGAAAGUUCAUCAGCAAGCCCGCACACAGGGAAAGCAUAUUGAAAUGAGCAUCGCAGAUCUGUCAGGCUGGAGUUUAUGGCCUUUUCUCAGUACUACACUGCGACUUCCAGGAAGGGUUCAGGCGCCCUCACUGGGGAACUACAUUCUCUGAACAGGACUUUGUAGAUGCUGAUGCUGUCUAAAUGGAUUACAAAGCUUUGUGAAUGAUAUAAUCUAUCCUUACGGAUCUCCCAACAGAAUUGCCAAAUAUUGGAGCAAAAUAUAUGUAUGUUUCAUAUCAAGAUCAUCAACAGAGGACAAGUUGAAUUAUGGGGCAAAGGAGG